UUAACAAAAACAUGUCCUUUUGAUUUUAAUUUAAGGUCUGAUCUGCCCAAUGAAUUAUUUUAAUGGCCGCGAUAUUUUGAUCGUGCGAAGGUAGCAUAAUCAUUAGCUUUUUAAUUGAAAGCUGGUAUGAAAGAUUGGACAAGAAUCUAACUGUCUCUUUUUUAAAUGUUGAAUUUUAUUUUUGAGUUAAAAAGCUCAAAUUUUUUUGUAAGACGAGAAGACCUUAUAGAGUUUUAUAUUGUUUAUUUUAAUUUGAUUGUAGGUAUAAAGAUCUUUUUAAUUUAUAGGUAUUUGGUUGGGGUGACAGAAAAAUUAAAUAAACUUUUUCUUUUUUUAAUAUUGAUUUAUAGAUUAUUGACUUAAAUUUUUAGUUAAAAGAUUAAAUUACCUUAGGGAUAACAGCGUUAUUUUUCUAAAGAGUUCAUAUCGAAAGAAAAGAUUGCGACCUCGAUGUUGGAUUAAAGUUUAAAUCUGGUGUAGAAGCUGGAUAUUUUAGUCUGUUCGACUAUUAAAAUUUUACAUGAUCUGAGUUUAAACCGGUGUAAGCCAGGUUGGUUUCUAUCUUCAAUAGUUUAAAAUAUUUUAGUACGAAAGGACCAAGUAUUGUUUAAAUUAAUUUUUAUUUUGGUUUCUAUU
rnacentral:rRNA from 1 species